GGGAGGGGGAGAGAUCCGGGUUGGCUAGCCGGUCAGCCUUUCAAGCCUGCGACAAUUGUUCGAACCCCCGUGGUGCCACUCUCGAUAGGAUUUUGAGGGUAGGCACCGCCUAGACGUAUCACAGUAAAUCUGAUCCUUAGCGUUUUCAUAAAAUAUGUGGUUAUCCUAACUAGUCCAUAGUUUGCGGACUCGAAAUACGAGAAAUAAAUUAAUUUGUUGUAGCGUGCUACUGACUAGGGCUACCUAUGUGUGUGGCCAUUUCUUGUAAAACUCUUCAUCAACUGAUUAAGCUGUUGU
rnacentral:lncRNA from 1 species